AGUGAACGCUGGCGGUAGGCCUAACACAUGCAAGUCGAACGGUAGCACAGUAAGAGCUUGCUCUUACGGGUGGCGAGUGGCGGACGGGUGAGGAAUACAUCGGAAUCUACUUUUUCGUGGGGGAUAACGUAGGGAAACUUACGCUAAUACCGCAUACGACCUACGGGUGAAAGCAGGGGAUCUUCGGACCUUGCGCGAUUGAAUGAGCCGAUGUCGGAUUAGCUAGUUGGCGGGGCAAAGGCCCACCAAGGCGACGAUCCGUAGCUGGUCUGAGAGGAUGAUCAGCCACACUGGAACUGAGACACGGUCCAGACUCCUACGGGAGGCAGCAGUGGGGAAUAUUGGACAAUGGGCGCAAGCCUGAUCCAGCCAUACCGCGUGGGUGAAGAAGGCCUUCGGGUUGUAAAGCCCUUUUGUUGGGAAAGAAAAGCAGCAGGUUAAUACCCCGCUGUUCUGACGGUACCCAAAGAAUAAGCACCGGCUAACUUCGUG
rnacentral:rRNA from 1 species